rnacentral:rRNA from 1 species
GACAGAGGAGCCAAGCGUUGUCCGGAUUGACUGGGCGUAAAGCGCACGCAGGCGGACGCGCGCGUGGGGUGUGAAAUCUGGCCGCUUAACGGCCAGGCGCCAUCCCAUACGGCGCGUCUGGAGUGAUGCAGAGGUCGAUGGAAUUGCCGGUGUAGUGGUGAAAUGCGUAGAGAUCGGCAGGAACACCCAGGGGGAAACCAGCCGACUGGGCAUCUGCUGACGCUGAGGUGCGAGAGCGUGGGGAGCGAACCGG